ACUGGAUUUAAAAUCUUUCCCAGAAAGGUGUUUAUCUCGUAUCUGUUUUCAUGGAACACUUGCUUGAACCAUGCUAAAGACACACAAUCCUACUGAUGGACAACUAUAGUGUUUGAAAUGAGAGGUAUACUCCAUAGGCUAUGUAUUUGGACACUUGUUUCCCAGUUGGCUAUGGUUAGAGAGGCUAUGAAUCUGUUAGGAGGUGUGACUCUGUUAAAGGAUGCCACACAGGGUGGUCAAUGAGAAUUUAGAGCCUUACUGAACUUCCAGUUCACUCUUCUGCUUCCCACAUGUGAAUGGAGAGCGACAUCUCAGCUUGCUGUUCUGGACACCUGCCGCCAUUCCUCCUGUAAUUGGUUGAUCUGAUGCUGUCUGCAAUCCUCAAGAUGACCUUGAACUCAGAGAUUUAAUCUUCUGGAAUCCAUAGCCACUAUGCCUCAAGAUCUCCAUACCAAGAUCCAGAUCAGAAACUUCUAUCUCCCAGCCCCCAGAUAAGGUUCCAGGGGGAGAGUCCAUGAUGGCAGGAGAAAUGUUGCAGCAAACAUCUGGAGCAAGAAAUGGAGAGACCACAUUCUCAACCACAGGGAGAAAACAGAGAGAACAAACUGGAAUAUCUCCAAAGCGGCAGACCAACACAGACAACCAACACUGAGGUUUGAUUGAGGUUGUCCGAACAUGCAAGGAUGAUAGCUAUAACAUGGAGUCAGCAGAGGUAUGCAUGCUCAGCCCAGCCUAUGCGACAAGCUUCUUUGACUCUGGACUUCUGCAAGUCUCUUCCAGUUCAUUUAUGCAGUAGAGUUCAUCAUAGUUUUACAUGGCUGUGUCUCCAAGAUGCAUAUGUGGCAUGCUUAGGGCAAGCCCACUGGUGCAUCAAAUGUUCAGACAGUGGUCCUGCUGUCGUUUGCACCUCCUGCACAUGGGUCUCUCAUCUGAUAAUCCAUGUAUUGUACUAUGCAGCAGAAUAAUCAGAACUUGACAAGUGCAGGUCUAUCUGUCUCACUACCUGGAAUAGGCAGACUUCCACAGGGGACCAAGUAAGUAGAGAAAACCCUGAUACGUAUUCUCGGAUGCUGGAGAAAUUUAUAACCUCAGAGACCUUUAGCAAAAAAUACAUUACAUUCUCUAAAAUUACAAGAAAUAUCCAUUGCUGAAGUCGCAAGUGAGCUUUGGCCUCCUUAAAGUAAGAUCGUGGUGCCUGAGCAAGGGAGAUGGUCUGCCAGUUGAUUUCUCUGUUCCCCCAGUAAGUGUGGAGAUUUCCCAGGCAGCCACCUCUUUGUAAGAAGCCGAGUUCCCUGCAAAAAAAAAUGACUAAUAUUUACUGAGUGCUUGCCAGAGUAAAGUCACCUUUCAGAUGCUUUUUCUACU
rnacentral:lncRNA from 1 species